UACGGAGGGUGCGAGCGUUGUCCGGAAUCAUUGGGCGUAAAGGGCGCGUAGGUGGCCUGGUAAGUCUGUGGUGAAAGCGCGGGGCUCAACCCCGCGUCGGCCGUGGAUACUGCUAGGCUUGAGCACUGUAGAGGCAGGCGGAAUUCCGGGUGUAGCGGUGGAAUGCGUAGAGAUCCGGAAGAACACCAGGGGCGAAGGCGGCCUGCUGGGCAGUUGCUGACACUGAGGCGCGACAGCGUGGGGAGCAAACAGG
rnacentral:rRNA from 1 species